rfam:Salmonella enterica subsp. enterica serovar Macclesfield str. S-1643 chromosome, complete genome.
ACCUGAGCUUCCAUUUCACGGUCAGACAGGCCACCGCAGAUUUGGAUAAUACGGUCAGACAGCGUCGAUUUACCGUGGUCAAUGUGAGCAAUGAUCGAAAAGUUACGUAUGUUCUUCAUAGAGAUAAAUUAUUAUGCCUUACGCCUGGUUGACCAGACUUUAGAGGUCGCUGUUCUGAGCUUAACGUCUGUUUUAACUGAAACGCCGCAUUCUACACUACAACGCUAAGGCGAGGAAAUGUUCAUAGUGUAAGGAGAGCGGGAACUGGAAAACGCCUCGCUUUUUUCCUGUAAAACACCGCAACGCAGGAAAAGCGCAUGCUUAUCGGGACAACAACCCAACGCGGCAGGUGUACCGUUGGGCAAAACGUUUACUGGCGCGUUUCGAUUGAGGUAGUUUCGACGCGAACAAGGUCCGGCGGGAGGGCAACGUUUAAAAUCACCGGCUGCCAGGCGUCGCGCUCCGCCAGUUUUCGGGAAUAGCCGCGGGCAACCAGAAAACCGCACACGCCGCCCAGCACGGCCCCGCUUAAUGCGGCAAGGUCAGAUCCAAACAGCAUCUGAAAAAGCGCCGCACAAAGAAAUAGCCCCGCUAAAGGCGACAUAUAGACCAGCAACGCCGAACCUAAAAGGCUUUUUUCGGCGAUGCCCAACUCGACUUUCUGCCCCGGCGCCAGCGGCUCCGUGCUUGGCACAACAAUGGUAUGCGUGGUUUGCGGCCCUAAUUUAUUCAGCACGCGACUGCCGCAUCCCGCACGGGAGGCGCAGCUGCUGCAUGACGCUUUAACGUCGCAGCUCACCACUGCCUGACCAUUCUGCCAGGAGACAACGGUUGCCCACUCUUUAAUCAUUGUACUGCCCUGAAUUUGAUACUGUCGGCAAUGCGC